GUGAGGAAUAUUGGUCAAUGGGCGGGAGCCUGAACCAGCCAAGUCGCGUGAAGGAAGAAGGAUCUAUGGUUCGUAAACUUCUUUUGCAGGGGAAUAAAGUGCAGGACGUGUCCUGUUUUGUAUGUACCCUGAGAAUAAGGAUCGGCUAACUCCGUGCCAGCAGCCGCGGUAAUACGGAGGAUCCGAGCGUUAUCCGGAUUUAUUGGGUUUAAAGGGGGCGUAGGUGGUUUGAUAAGUCAGCGGUGAAAGUUUGCAGCUUAACUGUAAAAAUGCCGUUGAAACUGUCGGACUUGAGUGUAAAUGAGGUAGGCGGAAUGCGUGGUGUAGCGGUGAAAUGCAUAGAUAUCACGCAGAACUCCGAUUGCGAAGGCAGCGUACUAAGCUACAACUGACACUGAAGCACGAAAGCGUGGGGAUCAAACAGGAUUAGAUACCCGAGUAGUCC
rnacentral:rRNA from 1 species